GCGAGCCCGGCCUUGUUGGAAUCGAUUGUUCCUUAAAUUGAAUUUAGACUAGGAUAGCUAAGCUGAGCGCCCCUUCCGAUCCAAAUUUUAGCAUGGCACUGGCUAUUUAGCUUAAUUUCAUCAGGAUUAAAAACCCCAGUUUUUAAACGGUAACUGAAAGGGUUUUGUUCAACAGAUUAGAGCUGAUCCCCAGAAGUGACCAGCUGUUAUCAAGAUUAUGGUGUUCAAAUUCACAAAAAGAAAAAGAAAAAGAUUAUGGUGUUAAAAAAUCGGCACUCUUGAACAAUUAAGAAUUAAGUUUUGUAGUGUCUAACAGCACAAUAGAUCCGUAACGCUCACGCCCCUCUGAAACGAACAUGCCAUUUUUUUUUCAUGAUCAGGCUAAGGCCUUGUUUGGAUGUUGUCGGAUUCGCAUCAAUCCACAUAUGUUGGUGUGGGUUGGAGUGGAACUUGAACUAAAUUCCACCUCAAUCCACUCCAACACAUGUGGAUUGAGGUGAAUUCGACAACAUCCAAACAAGGCCUAACGUGUCCUUUUUUACAGGGAGCAUGCAAAGAAAUUCAGAGAGGAGGAUAUG
rnacentral:lncRNA from 1 species